rnacentral:rRNA from 1 species
GACGUAGGGCGCGAGCGUUGUCCGGAUUUAUUGGGCGUAAAGAGCUCGUAGGCGGCUUGUCGCGUCGACUGUGAAAACCCGCGGCUCAACUGCGGGCUUGCAGUCGAUACGGGCAGGCUAGAGUUCGGUAGGGGAGACUGGAAUUCCUGGUGUAGCGGUGAAAUGCGCAGAUAUCAGGAGGAACACCGGUGGCGAAGGCGGCAUCCUGGACCAACAUUGACGCUGAGGAGCGAAAGCCAGGGGAGCAAACGGG